rnacentral:ribozyme from 14 species
AGAAAAAAGAAAAAAGAAAAAAGAAAGAAAAAGACAA